CUCCAAAGCUGUCAUCAGCUUCCCAUUUGUGACAUAGAAGUGUGUCUCAGAGUUCCGUAGGACCACUGAGGUGACCCCAGUGAAAUCCUGCUGUCAGAGCAUUCCAGGUCUCCGUUCCAGUUCUGCCCCUACAAGCCAGUGAUGGCAUGAAAGCUCUCCGAAACCCUGAACCAAAACGAAGCUACCUUACACUGUUUCUGUGAAGACAUAACAGUAAUGAAAAGAAACAGACAAAUUUACUUGUAAAUUGUCCUGCUGUGUCGGCCUUUAUUGCCUGCCUUAGGAAGCUGCAUCUGGGCCAGCUGGGAUACAGACCGCCUUCAGGAUUGCAGCAGUUUCUCGGCUCAGGCAGCUCACGAAGGCCAGCGGAAGCUUGAUUUCCCCACAGAGCCCAGCAGCAGCCCCAUUGCCUUGAUUGCUUCUGAUCAAGGCAAACUGAGAAAAGCAAAGCAGAGACAUCUGUUCUCUUCUGUCACUUAAAGUCAGCAAAAGCCGGCAGUCGGCGUGGUCACUCGAAACCAGUGCAAAGGUCCCACUUCACAAAACCGUAUCAGACUUCAGGGCUACAUCCAUUUUGCCCACCAAGCCAGGCUUCCUUUCAACUCCGUGGCCCUUACACAACUGUUCCUUCUACCUCAGUUAUCCUAUGCCCUCAGACAUUCUCUAAUUGCUUCAUGAGCCAACUCCUCUCCCUCCAUCAGCACCCAUGGCCUUUCCUGUAUGUAUUGGGUAACAAUUCUCCAAAGUCUCAUGAACCAGCAUACCAACCCAGGAUGUUUUAACUUUUAUAUUGUUUUUUUUUUAAAAAAAAAAAAAAUCCAAGAUUCCAUAGAAAUAUAAGAGGUAGCCACAGAUAAACAUAUCACCGGAAUAGAAAUAUAAAUGAGGAGACAAAGGUUAUCCAAAUGCUGCAGAGGCUUAUGAAGGCAUCUGUGAGGGUCCAACACCUUAGCUGAGUCUGGGAGGAUACACAAGCAUCAACUAGACAAAGAGCAGGAGAGGCAAUCCAGAGAAAGGCAGGAAUGGAAAGUAGAUGUCGCAGCAUGCUAGUGCUUGUGGGUUUGUAAAACCAAGCAUAUUAUCUAUGAAAUACAUCAAGCAGUGAGGCUGACAUGGCAAGUCCAUAGAGAUCUGAAGACAUGGAUCUGAAAGGCCUGAGGAAGCUGAGCCCAGGGAAAGAGAAUGUCCACACAGAACAUGGGAUGGGAUGGAUGAACUCUGAGGAACAUGAGCAUGAAUUAUGGGAAAGGGUAAUUCAAGGAAAGACAAGACGGAUAAAAGAGAGCUAGAGCAAGAGAUCCAGGAAAAGAAGAACAGAGGAUGAUGGAAAGACAACCAAAGAAAUGCACAGAGGAAAAUUGGAAAUGCUUAACAGUCAUGUCACUGAAUGGCCUGCCACACACUAUUAGUGAAUCACAGAGGUCUGGGAGGAUGGAGCUGUAGGCCAUUCAACUAUAAUGCACUGGGGUGCAGGGGCAAGAAGUGCAGAAACAGGAAAUGAACUCAGUGAAAUCUCCAUUCAACCAAGAUCUUCUAUUGAGCAAACCAAGUAGAGGAAUAAAAGUAAAAAGCAGAGUGUGAGAAAAGUGGGUGUGAGAGAGAAUAAUGUUUUGGGGUUAUAAAUGUUUAGUCAUCUUGGUAGGGAGCAAAGAAACCCUCAGGAAGGAGGCAAAAGGUCAAGGACAUGGGGAGGAAGUGACUGGCAGAUGGUGAACUACAAACAGACCUCGAUCACACACAGAAGAGGGGGUG